UUCAUCAAUCAUGCUCAAUCACAACAAUAUCGACACAAACGCAUGCACUUUCACAAGUUUUAAACAGAAAUCAUCAUAAGCCAAUUAUCCAUCCAAAUCCCUACACAACUCAUAUCUCCACCAAGGUAUCAUCACAGAGAAACCACCAAAGCAAGACUAACGAACUCAACAACAAAACAAACAAAAACAACUAAAAAGAAACAAUGCACCCACAAAGACACAUCCCCCCAAACUUAUUCACCGCCAAGGAGAAUAAGUUUGAAAAGGAUUUGUGGGGCACAAAAAAAAAAAAAAACUAACAAACAAAAAGAAACGAACUAACCAAGAUUGGGUUGCCUCCCAAUAAGCGCUAUUUUUAACGUCG
rnacentral:lncRNA from 1 species